GCUGCGAUGGCCGAGUGGUUAAGGCGUUGGACUCGAAAUCCAUUGGGAUAUUCCCGCGCAGGUUCAAAUCCGGUUCGCAGCG
rfam:Ciona savignyi cont_36265, whole genome shotgun sequence.